UCAUCAAAACAUAGGGAAGGUAAGUGCUAUCUGGACACAUUGCACUUUCAAGAAGGAUUACCUUAGUAACAGCGAGCGAAACGGGAAAAGCCCACCAUGAGAAUCGGUCGCCCUCGAUGUCCGAAUUGUAGUAUGGAGAAGCAUCCUCAGCGGCGGACCUGGCCCAAGUCCCAUGGAAGGGAGCGCUGAAGAGGGUGAGAGCCCCGUCUUGCACGGACCCUGUCGCACCACGAGGCAUUGUCGGUGAGUCGGGUUAUUUGGGAAUGCAUCCUCAAUCAGGUGGUAAAUUCCGUCCAAGGCUAAAUACUGGCGAGAGACCGAUAGCAAACAAGUACCGUGAGGGGAAUAAGAAAAGGACUUUGAAUAGAGAGUCAAAGAGUGCUUGAAAUUUUCGGGAGGGAAGCGAAUGGGGGCCGACAAUGUGCCUCGGUCGGAUGUAGAACAACGAGCGCCGGUCCAGCAAUCGACUCGGGGCAUGGACCGACGUGAAUUGUGAUGGUGGCCCUACUCUGGGUUGUUGACAUGCUUGUGGAAACGUCAUCAUCGUGAUUGGGGUUGGAAGCGCAUGCCGUUUGGUGUGAUUCGGCCUACAUGUUCCCCAUUCGGCUUGUCUUGAAACACGAACUAUGGAGUCUGGCAUGUGUGCAAGUCAGUGGGCAAGUAAACCCGUAAGGCGCAAGGAAGCUAAUUGGUGGGAUCCCCUUAUGGGUUGCACCACCGAUCGACCCUGAUCUUCUUUGAAGGGUUCGAGUGAGACCAUACCUGUCUGGACCUGAAAGACGGUGAACUAUGCCUAAGCGGGGCGAAGCCAGAGGAAACUCUGGUGGAGGCCCGCAGCGAUACUAAUGUGCAAAUCAUUCGUCUGAAUCGGGUAUAAGGGCAAAAGACUAAUCGAACCGUGUAGUAGCUAGUUCCCUCCGAAGUUUCCCUCAAGAUAGCUAGAGCCCACGGGCGAGUUCUAUCGGGUAAAGCAAAUGAUUAAAGGCAUUGGGGGUGCAACGCCCUCGACCUAUUCUCAAACUUUAAAUAGGUAGGACAGCGUGGCUUCUUUGUUGAGCCACGCCAAGGAAUCGAGAGCUCCAAGUGGGCCAUUUUUUGUAACUAGAACUGGCGAUGUGGGAUGAACAUGAAGCUGGGUUUCGGUGCCCAACUAUGCGCUAACCUAGACGCCAUAAAGGGUUGGUCGAUUAAGACAACAGGACGAUAGUCAUGCAUGUCGAAAUCCGCUAAGGAGUGUGUAACAACUCAUCUCCCGAAUCAACUAGCCCCUAAAACGGGUGGCUCUAAAGCACGAGACCUAUACCCGGUCGUUUGGGCAAGGGCUAGGCCCUGAUGAGUAGGAGGGUGCAGCGGUCGCUGCAAAACGUGGGGUGUGAGCCCGAGCGUAGCAGUCGUCGGUGCAGAUCUUGGUGGUAGUAGCAAAUAUUCAAAUGAGAACUUUGAAGGCCGAAGAGGGGAAAGGUUCCAUGUGAACGACACUUUCACAUGGGUUAGUCGAUCCUAAGGGACGGGGGAUGCCCGUUUGAUAGCGCUCUAAGAGCACACUCUGAAAGGGUAUCGGGUUAAAAUUCCUAAACCGGGACGUGGCGGCUGAUAGCAACGUUAGGGAGUCCAAAGACGUCGGGGCCCCCCGAAAAGAGUUAUCUUUUCUAAGGGCUGGGCAUGAGUUAUCUUUUCUCGCGGCGAGAGCGGGUCGCCGUGUGCCGGUCAGGGGACGGAUUGGAAAUGGGCCCUUCGGGACCUCUUCCCUGGGAGCCGAACAGUCGACUUAGAACUGGUACACACAAGGGGAAUCCGACAGUUUAAUUAAAUCAAAGUAUUGUGAUGGUCCCUGCGGAUUUUGACGCAAUGUGAUUUCUGCCGAGUGCUCUUAAUGUCAAAGUGAAGAAAUUCAACCAAGUGCGGAUAAGUGGCGGGAGUAACUAUGACUCUCUUAAGGUAGCCAAAUGCCUCGUCAUCUAAUUAGUGACGCGCAUGAAUGGAUUAACGAGAUUCCCAGUGUUGAGCUUGACUCUAGUCUGACUUUGUGAAAUGACUUGAGAGUUGUAGGAUAAGUGGGAGCUGGAAAAAACGGAAGUGAAAUACCACUACUUUUAACGUUAUAUUACUUAUUCCGUGAAUCGGAGGCGGGGUAUAGCCCCUGUUUUUGGAUCCAAGGUCGGCCUCGAUCGGUCGAUCUGGGCAGAAGACAUUGUCAGGUGGGGAGUUUGGCUGGGGUGGUACAUCUAUUAAAGUAUAACACAGGUGUCCUAAGAUGAGCUCAACGAGAACAAAAUUCUCGUUUGGAAUAAAAGGGUAAAAGCUCGUUUGAUUCUUAUUUCCAAUACGAAUAUGAAUCGUGAAAGCAUGGCCUCUCGAUCCUUUAGUCCUUCGGAAUUUGACGCUAGAGGUCUCAGAAAAGUUACGACAGGGAUAACUGGCUUAUGGCAGCUAAGCGUUCAUAGCGAUGUUGCUUUUUUAUCCUUCGAUGUCGGCUCUUCCUAUCAUUGUGAAGCAGAAUUCACUAAGUGUUGGACUGUUCACCCACCAAUAAGGAACGUGAGUUGGGUUUAGACCUUCGUGAGAUAGGUUAGUUUUACCCUAUUGAUGACAGUGUCGCAAUAGUACUUCAACCUAGUACGAGAGGAACUGUUGAUUCGCACAAUUUGUCAUCGCGCUUGGUUGAAAAGCCAAUGGCACGAAGCUACCCUACUGAUCAGAAUCUGGGCUAGAAGCGAUGUGUGUGCAUGUCGCCCGUUUGCCGACUAGCAGUAGGGGGCCUCAGCCCCCCAGAGGCAUGUGUCGUUGGUGACCCCCACGGGGUGGACGAGCCUCACGGGACGCCUUGAAGCGCUAUUCCCCACUCGGCUGCAAGUAAAAUCCUUUGCAGAUGACUUAAAUACACGAUGGGGUAUUGUAAGUGGAAGAGUGACCUUGCUGCCAUGAUCCAUGAAGCUUCAGUCCUUGUCACUUCGAUUCAU
rfam:Lupinus angustifolius cultivar Tanjil chromosome LG20, whole genome shotgun sequence.